CAUGACCUUUGGAUAAUGAUGUCCAUCACAUUCUACCAUUAUUGCUAACCCCCUGCCCCCUUCCUCCCUCCCCCUCUGCCCUAUCUAAAGUUUGUCUAUUCCUCCCAUGCUCCCCCUCCCUACCCCACCUAUUUCAUGAAGUAGAAAAAAUGGCAACAUUCAAACUGGUCACAGUGAUGCACAAUUCUAAUCCUGGAGACUUGGGAAGUUGAAGCAGGAGAAUCACAAGUUUGAGACCAGCCUCAGCAAUUUAGUAAGACCUUGCCUUAAAAAAGAAAAGAAAGAAAUGACCAGGGGUAUAGCUCACUGGUAGAGCACCUCUGGGUUAAUACUUGGAAAAUUGUGGACCAUUACAAAUGUAAAUAGAGGAAUUAAUCAUGAAUUUGCUAGUUAGCUAUUCCUACUCUUAAGAUUUAUUUUAACUGUCUCCUAUACUGACUGGUCUUGGAGGUAUGUUCUUGAUAUAGUUAUUUCCCACAUCCCUGUGUUCCCUUCCUUCCACUGAGAGGAAUAACCAGACCAGGAGGGGGCUAUUGUUAAGGCAUAGUGCCAGCAAGGGUCAUAAGGAGAAAGUUGAAUACUAUACAGUGGACAUGUGGACAUGGGAGUUGUGCUUCCAAACCAAUAUAUCUGACAUGUCUGGGUUCCUGUUUCGGUGCAGCACUCUUGAGACUGUUUCAUUUCAGGAAGGAUGGCAUUUCUCCCUCCGGCUCACCUUUGUGCUGGCAUUUGCAGUAGCUUCUCUUGUGGUCUGAGAAUAUUAUGUUUAAAAAUGGCAACAUUCAGGACUGGGGUUGUAGCUCAGUGGUAGAGGGCUCGCUGAGCAUGUGGGAUGCAUUGGGUUGGAUCCUCAGCACCACAUAAAAAAAUAAAGAUAUUGUGUCUAACUACAACCAAAAAAAAUGUUUUAAAAAUGGCAACAUUCAAACUGGUUACAGUGAUGCACAACUUUAAUCCUGGAGUCAUGGGAAUUUGAAGCAGGAGAAUCACAAAUUUGAGGCCA
rnacentral:lncRNA from 1 species